rnacentral:rRNA from 1 species
GGGUCAGUAGGUUGGUCGUGCCACCGGUACGUACUGGACUCACGGAUUCCUCCUUCCUGAAGAACCGUAAUGCCAUUAAUUUGGUGUUGCGGGGAAACAGGACUGUUACUUUGAAAGAAUUAGAGUGUUUAAAGCAAGCUAACGCUUGAAUACAUUAGCAUGGAAUAAUGAAAUAGGACGAUCGAUCCUAUUUUGUUGGUUUCUAGGAUUGACGUA